ensembl:snRNA U6 U6 spliceosomal RNA
CUUCUUCAGCAGAACACAAACUAAAAUUUAAACAACACAAACAAAAUUAGCAUGGCCCCUGCCCAAGAAUGACAUGCAAGUUCAUCCAGAGUUCCAUAUUUAC